rnacentral:rRNA from 1 species
GAUGAACGCUGGCGGCGUGCCUAAUACAUGCAAGUCGAGCGAACAGACGAGAAGCGGGCUACUCUGAUGUAAGCGGCGGAAGGGUGAGGAACACGUGGAUAACCUACCUAUAAGACAGGGAUAACUUCGGGAAACCGAAGCUAAUAACGGAGAACAUUUUGAACCGCAGGGUUCAAAAGUGAAAGAGGGUCUUGAUGUCACUUAGAGAUGGAACCGCGCUGCAUGAGCUAGGUGGUAAGAUAACGGCGUACCAAGGCAACGAUGCAAAGCCGACCUGAGAGGGUGAUCAGCCACACUGGAACUGAGCCCCCGUCCAGACUCCUACGGGAGGCAGCAGUAGGUACCAUUCAGAACAGUGCGAAAUCCUGCAGAAGCAACGCCGCGUGCGUGGUUGAGGUCUGCGUCCCGUAAAACGCUGUUAUUAGGGCAGACCAUAUCUGUAAGAAACUGUGCACUUUUUGACGGUACCUAAUCAGAAAGCGCCGGCUAACUACGUG